UCGGACGGGUGAGUAACGCGUGAGAAUCUACCUUCAGGUCGGGGAUAACCCCUGGAAACGGGGGCUAAUACCGGAUAGGUCGAAAGAUGAAAGGUUAACUGCCGGAAGAGGAGCUCGCGUCUGAUUAGCUAGUAGGUGUGGUAAGAGCGCACCUAGGCGACGAUCAGUAGCUGGUCUGAGAGGAUGAGCAGCCACACUGGGACUGAGACACGGCCCAGACUCCUACGGGAGGCAGCAGUGGGGAAUUUUCCGCAAUGGGCGAAAGCCUGACGGAGCAAGACCGCGUGGGGGAGGAAGGCCUUUGGGUUGUAAACCCCUUUUGUUAGGGAAGAAAAAAAUGACGGUACCUAACGAAUCAGCCUCGGCUAACUCCGUGCCAGCAGCCGCGGUAAUACGGAGGAGGCAAGCGUUAUCCGGAAUUAUUGGGCGUAAAGCGUCCGUAGGUGGCCCGGCAAGUCUGCUGUCAAAGACCACAGCUCAACUGUGGAAAGGCAGUGGAAACUGCAAGGCUAGAGUGCGGUAGGGGUAGAGGGAAUUCCCAGUGUAGCGGUGAAAUGCGUAGAGAUUGGGAAGAACACCGGUGGCGAAAGCGCUCUACUGGGCCGCAAC
rnacentral:rRNA from 1 species